GCUAUGACGAGUUUACCAAAUAAAUAGAUUCGGAAGGUUUAUAUUAUGGAGACAAAGAAGACUCCACUAAAACCUAUAAAAUGGAUACAAAGGGAACGCCUUUUGAAAAGAAAAAUGAAAUUCAGUAAAUGCAAAAGAAUGAAGAUGGUCCCUCAUCAUUGCAAAUAUGGUUACAUGAUGCUGAGUGGAUUAGGAAGAUCAACUUAAACAGGCAUGACAGAGCUGAUCCUUGUAGGUUCAAUGCCAAUCAGCACUAGACAGAAUGAGUGCAUCUAUCAGGAGAUUGAAGAUCAGGAGCUGAGUACUGCAGUAACGUCCACACUCACCACUGUCUACACCACAGUGGGGUCUUCACACACUGUAAUCUACUCCAGUGUAGAUGAACCAUCUGACUCCAUCACAUACUGCACUGUAAAUGUGUCUCAGCAAAGCACAACCCAUGCACUAAACUCCAAUGAAGCUGAGGACUCUGUGAUUUACUCCAACAUGACCUUCUAAGUGUAACCAAAAAACCCAGUCUGUCCACAGUCAUCAACAGAGCAACACAUAAGACUGAACAACGGCUCAUUUAAUCAUCCAUUUAAAGGCUGCAAACAGUUGACAACUCAGAAAAACUUUUUCCUUGGAAACUUCAUAUCUAUCAUAACAGUCUAUGCAUGGCUGACUUGGGGAGGUGCAAGCCACAGAGUAAGUGUGAGGAGGAGAAGAGUAAAUAUUUGUCGGUAUUCGGAUCUCCUUACUCAACUUGUGGAUCUGGCAGCACGGCACUGUUUAUAACUCUCAAACGAACGUUUGCCAGUGAGCUGAUUCUGCGCACAGGACUCUCAGUAAUAAUAUGAUAAUAUACAUGUAUCAUGUAUGUAACUGUUAUUCUGUUUGUUCUGUUUUUGUGGCAGUGGAAUUUACCUGAUGAGUUCAGGAGGAA